GGUCUCAUGGUGUAAUGAUCAGCACUUUGGACUUUGAAUCCUGCGAUCCGAGUUCGAAUCUCGGUGAGACCU
rnacentral:tRNA from 1 species